UACAGAGGUCUCAAGCGUUGUUCGGAUUCAUUGGGCGUAAAGGGUGCGUAGGCGGCGCGGUAAGUCGGGUGUGAAAUCUCGGGGCUUAACUCCGAAACUGCAUUGAAUACUCUCUUGCUUGAGGAUUGGAGGGGAGGCUGGAAUUCUCGGUGUAGCAGUGAAAUGCGUAGAUAUCGAGAGGAACACCAGUGGCGAAGGCGAGUCUCUAGACAACUCCUGACACUGAGGCACGAAAGCGUGGGGAGCGAACAGG
rnacentral:rRNA from 1 species